rnacentral:tRNA from 1 species
GAGGGUCUAGCUCAGUGACAGAGCGCGUGCUUAGCGUGCACGAGGUCCUGGGUUCGAUCCGCAGUCCCUCC